rnacentral:rRNA from 1 species
AAUAAUUAGUCUUUUAAUUGAAGGCUGGAAUGAAAGGUUGAACAAAAAGUUGACUGUCUCUGAAUUAAAUCUUGAAUUUAACAUUUAAGUGAGAAGGCUUAAAUAUCUUAGGGGGACGAUAAGACCCUAUAAAUCUUCAUAUUUGAGCUUAUAAAAUAAGAUAUUAGUAUGCUUUUUAUUUGAUGGGUUUAAAUAUUUUGUCGGGGCGACAGGGGUAUAAAAUGUAACUGCUCUAGAGUAAUAGUUAGUCGAUAUCUAGUUAUGUGAUCCUUUAGUAGAGAUGUUAGUUUAAGUUACUUUAGGGAUAACAGCGUAAUUUUUUUUGAGAGUUCGUAUCGAAAAAAAAGUUUGCGACCUCGAUGUUGAAUUAAAGAUCCUUUGCGGCGCAGAAGUGUAAGAGGAG